GUCGAGCGAUGAAGCUUCCUUCGGGAAGUGGAUUAGCGGCGGACGGGUGAGUAACACGUGGGUAACCUGCCUCAAAGUGGGGGAUAGCCUUCCGAAAGGAAGAUUAAUACCGCAUAAUAUAAGAGAAUCGCAUGAUUUUCUUAUCAAAGAUUUAUUGCUUUGAGAUGGACCCGCGGCGCAUUAGCUAGUUGGUAAGGUAACGGCUUACCAAGGCAACGAUGCGUAGCCGACCUGAGAGGGUGAUCGGCCACAUUGGAACUGAGACACGGUCCAGACUCCUACGGGAGGCAGCAGUGGGGAAUAUUGCGCAAUGGGGGAAACCCUGACGCAGCAACGCCGCGUGGGUGAUGAAGGUCUUCGGAUUGUAAAGCCCUGUUUUCUAGGACGAUAAUGACGGUACUAGAGGAGGAAGCCACGGCUAACUACGUGCCAGCAGCCGCGGUAAUACGUAGGUGGCGAGCGUUGUCCGGAUUUACUGGGCGUAAAGGGUGCGUAGGCGGAUGUUUAAGUGGGAUGUGAAAUCCCCGGGCUUAACCUGGGGGCUGCAUUCCAAACUGGAUAUCUAGAGUGCAGGAGAGGAAAGCGGAAUUCCUAGUGUAGCGGUGAAAUGCGUAGAGAUUAAGAAGAACACCAGUGGCGAAGGCGGCUUUCUGGACUGUAACUGACGCUGAGGCACGAAAGCGUGGGGUAGCAAACAGGAUUAGAUACCCUGGUAGUCCACGCCGUAAAACGAUGGAUACUAGGUGUAGGGGGUAUCAACUCCCCCUGUGCCGCAGUUAACACAAUAAGUAUCCCGCCUGGGGAGUACGGUCGCAAGAUUAAAACUCAAAGGAAUUGACGGGGGCCCGCACAAGCAGCGGAGCAUGUGGUUUAAUUCGAAGCAACGCGAAGAACCUUACCUGGACUUGACAUCCCUUGCAUAGCCUAGAGAUAGGUGAAGCCCUUCGGGGCAAGGAGACAGGUGGUGCAUGGUUGUCGUCAGCUCGUGUCGUGAGAUGUUAGGUUAAGUCCUGCAACGAGCGCAACCCUUGUUAUUAGUUGCUACCAUUAAGUUGAGCACUCUAAUGAGACUGCCUGGGUAACCAGGAGGAAGGUGGGGAUGACGUCAAAUCAUCAUGCCCCUUAUGUCCAGGGCUACACACGUGCUACAAUGGUAGGUACAAUAAGACGCAAGACCGUGAGGUGGAGCAAAACUUAUAAAACCUAUCUCAGUUCGGAUUGUAGGCUGCAACUCGCCUACAUGAAGCUGGAGUUGCUAGUAAUCGCGAAUCAGAAUGUCGCGGUGAAUACGUUCCCGGGCCUUGUACACACCGCCCGUCACACCAUGAGAGCUGGUAACACCCGAAGUCCGUGAGGUAACCGUAAGGAGCCAGCGGCCGAAGGUGGGAUUAGUGAUUGGGGUGAA
rnacentral:rRNA from 1 species